GUAGGGAAUAUUGCACAAUGGGCGAAAGCCUGAUGCAGCAACGCCGCGUGCGCGAUGAAGGCCUUCGGGUCGUAAAGCGCUUUUUGGGGAGAUGAGGAAGGACAGUAUCCCCAGAAUAAGGUUCGGCUAACUACGUGCCAGCAGCCGCGGUAAAACGUAGGAACCGAGCGUUAUCCGAAUUUACUGGGCGUAAAGCGCGUGUAGGCGGUUCGGUAAGUUGGAUGUGAAAUCUCCCGGCUCAACUGGGAGAGGUCGUUCAAUACUGUCGGACUGGAGGGUGGUAGAGGGAGGUGGAAUUCCCGGUGUAGUGGUGAAAUGCGUAGAUAUCGGGAGGAACACCAGUGGCGAAAGCGGCCUCCUGGACCAUACCUGACGCUCAGACGCGAAAGCUAGGGGAGCGAACGGGAUUAGAAACCCUGGUAGUCC
rnacentral:rRNA from 1 species